UACGAAGGGGGCUAGCGUUGCUCGGAAUUACUGGGCGUAAAGGGCGCGUAGGCGGUUGGCACAGUCAGCUGUGAAAUUCCCGGGCUUAACCUGGGGGCUGCAUUUGAUACGUGUUGUCUAGAGUGAGGAAGAGGGUUGUGGAAUUCCCAGUGUAGAGGUGAAAUUCGUAGAUAUUGGGAAGAACACCGGUGGCGAAGGCGGCUCACUGGUCCGGUACUGGCGCUGAGGUGCGAAAGCGUGGGGAGCAAACAGG
rnacentral:rRNA from 1 species